rnacentral:lncRNA from 1 species
UUUUCCAAGAGUAAAGGACCUCAACAGUGUGCUUUGGGGAUGAGCUUUUCUACCUGAGGGAAGUGACAGGAUGCUUCUGCUUCCCAUGAGUAUGCUGCUGGGAAAGGAGCCCCUCCACUUUGCGGUUGCUCUGUGAGUACCUGUAGGCAUAGGAAGUCAAAAAAUGUGAAUUGAAGAAUUCUUGGUUGCCUGUCCCCCAUCUUUACCUCAGCCUUUAAGAUUCUGCUAACCUUUGCACUAUUUUUGCAACACUUUUACUAGUCUACAGCAGGAUGUGUAAUGGCUUCCAUUGUUGUGGAGAUUGAACUCAGACUAUCAAGUAUUCUCAGCAGUACUCAGUCCUGGAAAACUCAAUGCAGUCCUUGAUCAUGAAGAGAUAAAGAAGAGUGGUUUGAAAGACAAGGACACUAGCAGAGGAACUCUUGCUGCUAGGGCGAUGAAGCAGUAGCAGCUCUUCCAAGCCUGCCCUCCUUCUCUGCCAGGAGUUACCUGCACACAGCAAGGACUGCUGAAGUGAACUUGCAUGCGUUA